UACGUAGGGUGCAAGCGUUGUCCGGAAUCAUUGGGCGUAAAGCGCGUGUAGGCGGUUCGGUAAGUCCGCUGUGAAAGUCGGGGGCUCAACCCUCGGAAGCCGGUGGAUACUGUCGGGCUAGAGUACGGAAGAGGCGAGUGGAAUUCCUGGUGUAGCGGUGAAAUGCGCAGAUAUCAGGAGGAACACCAAUUGCGAAGGCAGCUCGCUGGGACGUUACUGACGCUGAGACGCGAAAGCGUGGGGAGCAAACAGG
rnacentral:rRNA from 1 species